UACGGAGGAUGCGAGCGUUAUCCGGAUUUAUUGGGUUUAAAGGGUGCGUAGGCGGGAUGCCAAGUCAGCGGUAAAAAUGCGGUGCUCAACGCCGUCGAGCCGUUGAAACUGGCGUUCUUGAGUGGGCGAGAAGUAUGCGGAAUGCGUGAUGUAGCGGUGAAAUGCAUAGAUAUCACACAGAACGCCGAUUGCGAAGGCAUCUCACGAAUCUGCGAUUGACGCUGAUGCACGAAAGCGUGGGUAUCAAACAGG
rnacentral:rRNA from 1 species